UGGAGAUACCUGCACAUUUAGAUUGGUUUGGAUGGUGCACUUGGGAUGCUUUCUACUCUGAAGUCGAUCCUAAAGGAAUCAAAGAGGGUCUUGAUAGUUUUUUGGAAGGCGGAUGUACGCCAAAAGUUUUGAUCAUCGAUGAUGGAUGGCAAGACACAGUCAAUGAAUUCCGUAAGGAAGGCGAACCACUUAUUGAAGGAACACAGUUUGCAACUAGAUUAGUAGACAUCAAAGAAAACAAGAAGUUUAACGCCUCAGGCUCGGAUAGUUCAUGCGUUGAUCUCAAAGAGUUUGUUGAAGUCAUUAAAGAAAAAUAUGGGUUAAAGUAAGGGCCAUCUCUCACACACAAAACUACAUAAU